UACGUAGGGUGCAAGCGUUAAUCGGAAUUACUGGGCGUAAAGCGUGCGCAGGCGGUUAUGUAAGACAGAUGUGAAAUGCCCGGGCUUAACCUGGGAACUGCAUUUGUGACUGCAUGGCUAGAGUUUGGCAGAGGGGGGUAGAGUUCCACGUGUAGCAGUGAAAUGCGUAGAUAUGUGGAGGAACACCGAUGGCGAAGGCAGCCCCCUGGGUCAAGACUGACGCUCAUGCACGAAAGCGUGGGGAGCAAACAGG
rnacentral:rRNA from 1 species